AGAAUGUGUGCAGCCUCAGAGGGCCGGAGCCACCUGCCAAUUAGGUUUGAUGGUCUUCAGGUGUCCUUGUACUCACACGGUGACGGCAGCAGCCUCCGACUGGGGUCGGAGCCAGUGGCCCGAGAACCUCUCAGCUCAGGGGAGGCCGACCGAGUCAGGGAUCACAGGACCCUGUGAGCCAGCCGGGCGUCCUUCCUUGGCGUCGAAGAUGGAUUCACAUCCCCAGCUGUGGGAAAGAUAAGUGGAGG